AAGAACGCAGCGAAAUGCGAUACCUAGUGUGAAUUGCAGAAUUCCGCGAAUCAUCGAGUCUUUGAACGCAAGUUGCGCCCGAGGCUUGUCCCGAGGGCAUGCCUGCCUGAGCGUC
rnacentral:rRNA from 1 species